AUUAGCUAGUUGGCGGGGUAACGGCCCACCAAGGCGACGAUGCGUAGGGGUUCUGAGAGGAAGGCCCCCCACACUGGGACUGAGACACGGCCCAGACUCCUACGGGAGGCAGCAGUGAGGAAUAUUGGUCAAUGGGCGGAAGCCUGAACCAGCCAAGUCGCGUGAGGGAUUAAGGCCCUGCGGGUCGUAAACCUCUUUUGCCGGGGAGCAGUGGUCCGGACGUGUCCGGGCCGGGAGAGUACCCGGAGAAAAAGCAUCGGCUAACUCCGUGCCAGCAGCCGCGGUAAUACGGAGGAUGCGAGCGUUAUCCGGAUUUAUUGGGUUUAAAGGGUGCGUAGGCGGGCAUUUAAGCCGGCGGUCAAAUGUCGGGGCUCAACCCCGGCCUGCCGUCGGAACUGGGUGCCUUGAGUGGGCGAGAAGUAUGCGGAAUGCGUGGUGUAGCGGUGAAAUGCAUAGAUAUCACGCAGAACCCCGAUUGCGAAGGCAGCGUACCGGCGCCCAACUGACGCUGAAGCACGAAGGCGUGGGUAUCGAACAG
rnacentral:rRNA from 1 species